rnacentral:rRNA from 1 species
AUGGAUGUAUGUCUAUAGGUUUAUGUCUGAUGAGAGAGUUCAAUAAGAAAAAUAUUUUUUGAAUUAGAUAUUUUUUAGUAUGCAAAGAAAAAGGAUUCAUAAGACUUUAGUUUAAAAGUACCGUGAGGGAAAACUGAAAUAAUUAUGAAAAUUUAAUUGAUUUAAAGGAGACGUGGAGGUCCGUACCUUUUGUAUCAGGGAAAAUUAAAAUUUAUUAGGUAGUCUAAGAUUCCCGAAAGAAGAAUAGCUAAAAAUUUAUGGAUGUCUCAGUAGAAAAUGAGUUUACAAUAGGUUUUUAGUGGUGAAAUGUCAGUCGGGUCUUCUGAUAUCUGGUUGUUUUGGAAGUAAAUUUAAUUUAGACUAAAUUAGAUGUUAUAUUGAUUUAGUUUAAUGGCUGGAGGGAAAAGCUUCUAGUUAGGAUUUUGAUAUGGGUGUGAUUAUGUUAGGAAUAAAAGUAGCCCAAUUAGGCUCAGAAGUAGCCAUAUUAGUAAAGUGUUUUAACUAAGAUUUUUUUUUGAUAAAAAAUUUUUAUGGCCCCUUAUCUUAAGUUACAAAACUUUGCCCGUAAACUUAAAUUGUUCAGGAGUAAUGAUUUUAUUAGUAUAAUAAUUCUCAGUGUUGAGGAGUGUUUUGGAGUAAAUUAUAUUUUUUGUAGGAUGAUGAGUGGUAUAGUAAAGGAACUCGGCAAAAAAGAUUUCUGCCUGUUUAUCAAAAACAUGUCUUUAUGAAUUUUAUGUAAAGUCUAGCCUGCCCAGUGAUAAUUGAAUUUAACGGCCGCGGUAGCAUGACCGUGCUAAGGUAGCAUAAUCAUUUGUCCUUUAAUUGAGGACUGGUAUAAACGGCUGCACAAGAAAUUGUCUGUCUCUGCUAUAAAAUUUGAAAUUCACAUUUAAGUGAAAAGGCUUAAAUGGAAUAGGGGGACGAUAAGACCCUAUAAAUCUUUACAAUUAGGGCUUUAGUUAUUAGAAAGUAGUUAUGGAUCUAAAUCUAAGGUUUAAAUUGUUUUGUUGGGGCGACAGAAGUAUAAUAAGUAACUGCUUUGGUUUUCAUAUUAAUUGUUUUUAUUAUGGUUAGUUUAAAAGAUCCUCUUUUGGAGAUCACAGACUAAGUUACUUUAGGGAUAACAGCGUAAUCUUUCUUGAGAGUUCAUAUCGAAAGAAGGGUUUGCGACCUCGAUGUUGAAUUAAAGAACCUUUAUGGUGUAGCCGCUAUAAGAGGAGGUCUGUUCGACCUUUAAAUCUUUACAUGAUUUGAGUUCAGACCGGCGUGAGCCAGGUCGGUUUCUAUCUCCUAUUUAUAAAUUGGCUCUUUUAGUACGAAAGGAUCAAGGAGCUGAAAUAAUUUUGGGUUGUUUAAU